GCCAGCAGAGAGGCGGCCGGCCAUGGGCACCUGCUCAGAAGACCCCCACCUGGGCGGGGCCUCCUGGCUCCUGGGAUUCACCAGCCUUCUCCUCAGCGUCUGCAGCGCUCUGACCCAGAGCUCUGGAGUCCGUGGUUCCGGGGUGGAGGAUUCUGGAAUUCCUGUUUCUCUGAAGGAGACACAAGGAGCUUCUGUGUCAUUUCAUGUGAUCAGAAAACCAGAAUUACCCCCAGAAGGCGAGCUGGAGAAGAUUUUAUGGGGCAUUGUAUACGGGUCAAACUACAGAGUCAUGCUGAAUGUCCUUCCUGGGAGGAAUGUUCCAGAAUGGCUCAACUUCCAAGACAAGUUCAAGAUGAGGGUCCAUGUGCCCAGCGUAAUGACCCUGACAAUAGACAACCUGACCCUUGAGGACAGCGGGCUGUACCGGGUUCGAGUCUUCUACAGUACUGGAACAGAACGUGACGAGGAUUUCCACCUGACGGUCUAUGAGCCCGUGCCCCUUCCCCAGAUCCGGGCCACGGUUCUGUCCCUCACACCAGGCUGGUGCAACGUCACCGUGGAGUGUGACACCACGGGAACCAGGGAGGACCUGACCGUGUCCUGGGAGAGCGAGGGCCUCCCUAGGGAGCUGGAGCAGAGACCGUCCAUGGGACCAGCCCCCAACCCCUGGACCCUGGCUGUGACCCUGCCCCUUAGCCAG
rnacentral:lncRNA from 1 species